GGGAGAGCGCGCCCACGGGUUCACAGCGCUCCCGGGCCCCACUGCGGCGCAGCCACAAAUCGCUUCGCGCUGCAGCAGACCCUCCCGCCGCGGGGGGCGACUGGGGGAGGGGUCUCGACCGCCACCCUGAGUUCCGCAGCUGGAUCCCUCCCAUCUGGGAGGUGGUUCUAGCUCUAGUCCCAAGCUUUCCACUGCAGUGAUGGCGGGGAUGGGGGCAGCACGUCAAAUCACCUGUAGGGCUUUUUAGAACUCCACAGCCCCCUCCCCUAAUUCUAUUCCACUAGUUCAAACGAAGAAAAUCUCAGACUAGGCAAGGGGAGGUGGACCGGUGGAGUCUGCGAAAGCACCACAGGUGACUCCGGGUACGCACUCCUCAGGACACAAACACACACACGGACACAUCUUGUGACUCUGAGACUACACAGAUCAACCUUAGAUUCGACCCUUCCCUCCUUUAUUCUCUGGGGUGUCCGUGUUCUUUUCAGCUUCCCUUUAAGUCGCCCUGCGCAGGGGCUUUGUGGAGUGCCCCCAAAGUCCUAGAACCCCGCGGGACGGUCGGAGGCUUUGGCGGCCAGACAUUAGGAAAAGCAUCUCCUGCUUCUCGGACUGCCCGGAGCGCGAACUGGAUAUCAAGGAGCCAAGGUUCCCAUGGCAACCCCAUUAAAUUGCCCAAACGCAGUGGUGAGCAGGAAGCAAGGAAAACCAAGAUGGAACAAGAACUUCUAUCAGACCCAUGACCACAUUUCCCCAGACUUGGAGGAAUCUGGGGAAUGGUGCACCUGGGAGACUCCUGGCCUCUGUAAUAACCCUCAUGUAGCACAGAAGGCAGAGAAACAGCAACCCCACCAGGCUUCCCAGGCCUGAGGAACAAAGAGGGCCUGGACAGCGAGCAUCUCAGCAGGAACUGAGACGAACGGUGGCUUGAAGGGUGGGGACGCCUUCCUGCAUCUUUUUCUCUGGUGGAGAAGACAGAGAGGCCUUUGCUCUCUUUCCUGGAGCUGAGGUUUGGACAGUGAGGAGAAGCUCCAAAAGAAACUGAGAGUGAAUUACUGUACCCAUCAGAAUCAAGUCUCCAAGUAAGAUUUAACUUAAUUUAGAAGAAAGGUAACCUUACUUUCCCAAUGUUAUGGACUAAGCUUCGUACUGUGUACAUAUGUAUAGAAAAAUACUAGGUACUUGUAUUAAUCAUGCCUUUUACUUUCUGUAUUCUGAUGCUUUGGCAUCUGGGGCCUUGCUGACUCUGGAGGGACUGCCCCUCCCUGGAUGAGUCAAUUCCUAGAGACAGCGAACAACUUGUCCAUGAGUAUGUCUUGGAAAUGCAAACCAAUCAAUCCAGAGCCCAAGCUCCAGCCACCUCCAUGAUAAGGCUCUGGGUCACUACUCACCUGCCCUAAUCAUCCCAGGGCCAGGACCAGACAACAGAGACAGCCCCUAUGCACCAGAGCCACUGGAAUUAUUUAAACCAGUCAAUCUGAAGCCCCCUUACCCUGCCUGACCUGUUCCUUCCCAUGAAACCACAAUAAGAGCUCUUGCCCACAGUUUACCCCUCCUUCCGCCUCCUGAUGUUUCCCUGUGGCCCUCUCCCCCCAUGGCAUGGCAUGCACCCUCCUUUUAGGAACUGUAAUAAACUAUCUCUU